GCUUUCUUGGCUCAGCUGGUUAGAGCGCCAGUCUCAUAUUUGUGUGUGAGGGAUCAUUGGAUCCUUUAAUCUGGAGGUCGUGAGUUCGAUCCUCACAGAGAGCA